rnacentral:misc_RNA from 1 species
CAACCCUCAAGCUCUGCUUGGUAUUGGGUGCCACUUUUGGUAGUGCAUCUUAAAAUCAGUGGCAGAGGCAUCUGGCUUCUAGCGUAGUAAUACUUCUCGCUCUGGAGUUUAUGAUGUGUUUGCCAUCAGCCCCAAUUUUAAUA